rnacentral:lncRNA from 10 species
AGGGACGCCCCCACAGGUAGACGAAGAGGGUCCAGAGAAAGGUGGGGAUUCCCUAACCCCUUCUUUCUUGGCACAGACAGGCAGAGAACACCUCUUUUCUCACCCCUGGGCAGCCCCAGGAAGUCAAUCCUUCCACUAUUCCUGCUCCGUGCCUCUCUUCCCUCUGCCCAGAUUCCUGGGAGACUCAAAACCCUGUUCAACUCUCUCUGGGCUAGCUGCUCCCCUCCCCAAGAGGAUUUCUCUCCAGAGCUGGUAUCAUCGCUUAAUGAUGUUCCACCAACAAGGGGAAGAUUCAGCCAUGUCUUCCUAGGAUCCAGCAUCCAAACCUGGACCAAAGUCCUCGGAUCCUCAGCAAUGGGGGUGCAUCUGGUGAUGGUGUUCAUGCUAAAUUUGUGCCAAGAGACACCUGUACUUGUGGGAGAAUUAAUAUUUCACUUCUGUUUAGGUUUCUUUUCUGGGAGCUGCUAUCACUGAAUACAUAAAGAAAUUGAGCCUAUAUGAUUUCAAUCUUCACCUUCUGAUGCUGAUGAAACAGGAUUCUAUGCAGAGAAAAUCCUCUCCAGUCAAGUAAUUGCAUCCAUUUCAUCUUCCCAGCCCUCCUCUAGAUGGGAGGUGGAGGUGUGUGUACCAAUCUCUUAAUUCAGAAAUGAGACAAGAGGAGGAAAAAGGAGUUCCGGAGACUUUGAGUAAAGCUGAUCACCUUACGUAAUGUGAGUGGGUCUCGUCCAAUCAACUGAAGGCUUUAAGAGCAAAGACAAAGGUUUUUCAAAGAGAAAAAGAAGACUCUCCUCAAGACUGUGACAUAGAAACUCUGCCUGAAUUUCUAGCCUGCUGCCCUGCAGAAUUUAGAGUCAAGCCUACAACAUAACUCUUACCUGAAUUCUCAGGCUGCUGACUUACCCUGCAGAUUUUGGACUUGCCAGCCCCUCACAAUCCCAUGAGCCAAUUCCUUAAAAUAAAUCUCUCUUUUUCCCUCUGUAUAUAUUUAUGUCCUAUUGAUUUUGGUUCUCUGGAGAGCCCUGACUACUACACUGAGUGAAGGGAGGGCUUUGCUAAGUGAUCAUGGUCCCAAGGGCAGCCUCUGAGAGCCCGCUCCUUUUGCAGGAUAUUUGAAGACCAGACCUUGAGUCAAAUUCUGCAGCCAAAUUCAAUGCCCAUAAGACUUUCUGCUCAGAAGACGUCAUGCAAAGGGAAUCCCCAGGGCUCUUUAAAUUAGAUCUUCUGUUUGUGCAGACACGUGAUAAAUGUUUUGGGUACAGCCUGGCUCACACCACAUUUUCCACUUUUUGGGUGGAGUCAGUUUUAAUUGACAAGAAGUGCCUUUACAGGUGGACUUUUUUUUUGGUGGUGGAGGGGAGUAGUUAAAACCGAUGCUUUGCAUUCUGUUGGGCAGCAGAAAGAUUGCUUUUUCAAUAAGCAAGCCUUGGGUUUUUCUGAGCCAGUGGUAUGAGAAAUGCCUCUCCUGAAGGCCACCACGCAAGCGAGUCCCCACAGAAGCAUGCCCGAGCUGUCAGGUGCAGGGAGAAAUAUCUUUAGUAAGAGCCGGUCAUGUAAUGAGACUUCCCCACCACAGCAUAGAUGGGCAGAGGGGUUUCCACAAGGACAAUUCUUAAGAAUCUCUGUAAAAACGCAUGACUCCAUCUGUCUCCUCUCUCUUCUUUGGCUUCAGAUGAGCUGAGCCAUUUAAAAAUUCCCCAACAAGGGACCCCAGGCACCAGAAGAAGUGAUGAACAGAUUUUCAAUUUGGCCCUGAUUUGCAUAAAUUUUUUUUUUCUGGCAG